UACAGAGGUCUCAAGCGUUGUUCGGAUUCAUUGGGCGUAAAGGGCGCGUAGGCGGCUCGCUAAGUCGGGUGUGAAAUUUCGGAGCUUAACUCCGAAACUGCAUUCGAUACUGGCGUGCUUGAGGACUGGAGAGGAGACUGGAAUUCAUGGUGUAGCAGUGAAAUGCGUAGAGAUCAUGAGGAAGACCAGUGGCGAAGGCGGGUCUCUGGACAGUUCCUGACACUGAGACACGAAGGCCAGGGGAGCAAACGGG
rnacentral:rRNA from 1 species